rnacentral:lncRNA from 1 species
CACUGCUCUGAGCUCCCCCCCUCCCGCUGCAGGGCGGACCAGUUCGAGUACGUGAUGUACGGCAAGGUGUACCGCAUCGAGGGGGACGAGACCUCCAUGGAGGCAGCCACGCGCCUCUCUGCCUACGCCUCCUACGGGGGGCUGCUGAUGCGGCUGCAGGGAGACGCCAACAACCUGCACGGCUUCGAGGUGGAUUCCCGCGUCUACCUGCUGAUGAAGAAGCUGGCCUUCUAGGAGAGGCCGCGCCUCGAGGCUUCCCAGAGACAUUCUGCCAGGAGAGGUGCCUGAUGCUGAGCAGAGACCACGCUGGGCGCCCCGCGGCCCUGCCUGCUGGUGGUCUCCUCUCACCUCCCUCUUCCUGCGCGUCCCAGGUGGGCUCAGCCCCGGCUGUGCUCAGGGAUCUGGCUGCAUUGGGGCUGGCCGUCAUUUCAGAGCCAUCCCGUGACGGGCCUGGCUCGUUCUUGAUUAAACCAGCACGCGUUUUCUAGGGCUGGCUGAGUUGUGAGGCUGAUGGGGAGCGGGCGGUGCGCCCCCACAGGGACCCCGAGCACUUCCAGAGGGUGACGGGGGGGGGCGCCGGGAUGGCCCCAGAGGCUGCCGUGCUGCUGCUCUCGCUCCUGCAG